CAGUCGCCGCGGUAAUACGAAGGGGGCUAGCGUUGUUCGGGAUUACUGGGCGUAAAGCGCACGUAGGCGGAUAUUUAAGUCAGGGGUGAAAUCCCGCAGCUCAACUGCGGAACUGCCUUUGAUACUGGGUAUCUUGAGUAUGGAAGAGGUUAGUGGAAUUGCGAGUGUAGAGGUGAAAUUCGUAGAUAUUCGCAGGAACACCAGUGGCGAAGGCGGCUCACUGGCUCGAUACUGACGCUGAGGUGCGAAAGCGUGGGGAGCAAACAGGAUUAGAUACCCCCGUAGUCCCUGUCUCUUAUAC
rnacentral:rRNA from 1 species